UAGGGAUUCCCCUAGUAACUGCGAGUGAAGCGGGAAAAGCUCAAAUUUAAAAUCUGGCGGUUCUGCCGUCCGAGUUGUAAUCUGGAGAAGUGUUUUCCGUGCUGGACCGUGUACAAGUCUCUUGGAACAGAGCGUCAUAGAGGGUGAGAAUCCCGUCUUUGACACGGACUACCAGUGCUUCUGUGAUACACUCUCAAAGAGUCGAGUUGUUUGGGAAUGCAGCUCAAAAUGGGUGGUAAAUGCCAUCUAAAGCUAAAUAUUGGCGAGAGACCGAUAGCGAACAAGUACCGUGAGGGAAAGAUGAAAAGCACUUUGGAAAGAGAGUUAAACAGUACGUGAAAUUGUUGAAAGGGAAACGCUUGAAGUCAGUCGCGUUGCUUAGGAUUCAGCCUUGCUUUUUUGCUUGGUGUACUUCCUGGGUGACGGGCCAACAUCGAUUUUGACCGGUGGAUAAAGUCGAGGGGAAUGUGGCUCCUUUGGGAGUGUUAUAGCCCUUUGUCGCAUGCAUCGGUUGGGAUCGAGGACCGCAGCACGCCUUUUUGGCCGGGGUUCGCCCACGUAACGUGCUUAGGAUGUUGGCAUAAUGGCUUUAAUCGACCCGUCUUGAAACACGGACCAAGGAGUCUAACAUGCCCGCGAGUGUUAGGGUGGAAAACCCUUGCGCGUAAUUAAAGUGAAAGUUGGGACCCUUGUCAUGGGGGGCACCGACGCCCGGCCUUGAACUUCUGUGACGGCGCCGCGGUAGAGCGUGUAUGUUGGGACCCGAAAGAUGGUGAACUAUGCCUGAAUAGGGCGAAGCCAGAGGAAACUCUGGUGGAGGCUCGUAGCGAUUCUGACGUGCAAAUCGAUCGUCAAAUUUGGGUAUAGGGGCGAAAGACUAAUCGAACCAUC
rnacentral:rRNA from 1 species